rnacentral:rRNA from 1 species
CUGGCUCAGGAUGAACGCUGGCGGCGUGCCUAACACAUGCAAGUCGAACGAAGCGUGCGGAUGGAAUUUCUUCGGAGAGGAAGCCUGCAUGACUGAGCGGCGGACGGGUGAGUAACGCGUGGGCAACCUGCCCUGCACAGGGGGACAACAGCCGGAAACGGCUGCUAAUACCGCAUAAGCGCACAGCUUCGCAUGGAGCGGUGUGAAAAGCUGCGGCGGUGCAGGAUGGGCCCGCGUCUGAUUAGCUGGUUGGCGGGGCAACGGCCCACCAAGGCGACGAUCAGUAGCCGGCCUGAGAGGGUGGACGGCCACAUUGGGACUGAGACACGGCCCAGACUCCUACGGGAGGCAGCAGUGGGGAAUAUUGCACAAUGGGGGAAACCCUGAUGCAGCGACGCCGCGUGAGCGAAGAAGUAUUUCGGUAUGUAAAGCUCUAUCAGCAGGGAAGAAAUUGACGGUACCUGAGUAAGAAGCUCCGGCUAAAUACGUGCCAGCAGCCGCGGUAAUACGUAUGGAGCAAGCGUUAUCCGGAUUUACUGGGUGUAAAGGGAGCGUANGCGGCCUGCCCAGUCUGAUGUGAAAUACCGGGGCUCAACCCCGGGGCUGCAUUGGAAACUGGCAGGCUGGAGUGUCCGAAAGGGCAGGCGGAAUUCCUAGUGUAGCGGUGAAAUGCGUAGAUAUUAAGAGGAACACCCGUGGCGAAAGGGGGCCUGCUGGACAAUGACUGACGCUGAGGUUCCAAAACGUGGGGAGCAAACAGGAUUAGAAUCCCUGGAAUUCCACGCCGAAACGAAGGAACAUUGGGUGG